GCUGGUUUGGCUCAGUGGAUAGAGCAUCAGCCUGCGGACUGAAGGGUCCGGGUUCAAUUCCAGUAAAGGGCA
rnacentral:tRNA from 1 species